GCAAUUAUAACGGUUAUCCGUUUAUUUUAAUAGAUAUAUAAAACUAAAAAAACAAAAAACCUCUGUAACCUGGUCGUUCUCUCCACCAGGAGGCCAGCACCACCCCGUCCGCCACUUGUCUCUCUCUCCUGGCUGCUUCUUCUCAUCUCCGCCGCUCAUCUCUCUCUCCUUGCUGCCCUCUCUCUCAUCGCUGCUCGGCUUUCUUCCCUCGUUGCUCAUCUCAAUGCCCCAUCUCGAUCUCCCCCCACCCACCCUUCAAGUUCCAAUAUGGAGACUCAAAGCGAGAGCCAAGAUAAUGAACCAAUUAAUCUUGAUCAAGAUUUGGACCAAGCUGAAUCAAGCUUUGAUGAUAACACUGGUAAGAAGAGGAAAAAAACCUCGGUUGUCUGGCAGCAUUUUAAGGAAAAGAUGUUUUGUGGGGGGGGGGUGAAAGCUGUCUGUAACCAUUGUCAGACUAGUCUAGCAUCGGGCUCCACUAUUGGUACUUCAUCUUUACAUUCACAUGUUAAUACAUGUCCUGUUUUGACAACAAAGAAAAAGAGUCCAGGUAUAACUGGUGAUGGGUCUGUUAAACAUGGUGCAUAUAGUUUUGAUGAAGAUAACGCUAGGAAAGAGCUAGCUUAUAUGAUUAUCUUACAUGAGUAUCCUUUAUCUAUAGUGGACCAUUUGGGUUUUAAGAGGUUUUGCAAUUCAUUGCAACCCUGAUUCAAGGUUCUUUCUAGAAGUACUAUUAAGAGGGAUAUUAUGAAGGUGUUUGGAUGUGAAAAGGGAGUGACCAUUAAGUUGUUGCAAAUGAACAAGAGUAAAAUUGCAAUCACGACUGACAUGUGGACUGCGAGUAAUCAGAAGAGAGGGUUUAUGGCUAUCACUUCUCAUUUUAUUGAUGCUUCGUGGACGCUACAAAGUCGAAUUUUGAGGUUUGCAUAUGUUCCAUGCCCGCAUAAUGUCGAGACACUUUCUGCUAUAAUGAUAGAUUGCUUAUCGGAGUGGAAUAUUGAUGGUAAGCUUUACUUUGUAAUCAUACGGAUGUUAUAAUUGAAUACUUGCUCGGGUAUGGAAGAAAAAUAUGUCGAAAAUACAUGAAUUUUCUUUCCAAUAUGCUUGCUCAAGUAAUGAGAGGUAUUUUGUUAGUAAAAAAUCAAUUAUUAGCAAAUAUAUUAUAUUACCUUGAUUGAUUAAAA